UACGGAAGGUCCAAGCGUUAAUCGGAAUUACUGGGCGUAAAGCGCGCGUAGGUGGUUUAUUAAGUUGGGUGUGAAAGCCCCGGGCUCAACCUGGGAACUGCAUCCAAAACUGAUUCACUAGAGUACGAAAGAGGGAGGUAGAAUUCACAGUGUAGCGGUGGAAUGCGUAGAUAUUGUGAAGAAUACCAAUGGCGAAGGCAGCCUCCUGGUUCUGUACUGACACUGAGGUGCGAAAGCGUGGGUAGCGAACAGGAUUAGAUACCCUGGUAGUCCACGCCGUAAACGAUGACAACCAGCUGUUGGGAAGCAAUGCUUUUCAGUGGCGCAGCUAACGUCUUAAGUUGUCCGCCUGGGGAGUACGGCCGCAAGGUUAAAACUCAAAUGAAUUGACGGGGACCCGCACAAGCGGUGGAGCAUGUGGUUUAAUUCGAUGCAACGCGAAAAACCUUACCUACUCUUGACAUCCUUGGAAUCUCUUGUAAUGAGAGAGUGCCUUUUGGAACCAAGUGACAGGUGCUGCAUGGCUGUCGUCAGCUCGUGUCGUGAGAUGUUCCGUUAAGUCGGAUAACGAGCGCAGCCCUUACCCUUAUUUGCCAGCGGUUCGGCCGGGAACUAUAAGGGGACUGCCGGUGAUAAACCGGAGGAAGGUGAGGACGACGUCAAGUCAUCAUGGCCCUUACGAGUAGGGCUACACACGUGCUACAAUGGGAAGUACAGAGGGACGCCAAAGCGCGAGCUGGAGCUAAUCUCAUAAAACUUUUCGUAGUCCGGAUUGCAGUCUGCAACUCGACUGCAUGAAGUCGGAAUCGCUAGUAAUCGCGGAUCAGCACGCCGCGGUGAAUACGUUCUCGGGUCU
rnacentral:rRNA from 1 species